rnacentral:lncRNA from 1 species
GUGAGCUGGAGCGCAUACAUCAGACCUUAGAGAGGAGCAAUUUUUGAGAGAACAUGCAGUGUUGGGACUGUCACAGGUGUACUGUCCCUGACACUGAGGCUAUACCUAGCAAUCCAGUAGUAUGGUGUGCUGGUGAAAGACUCUAAAAGAGGGAAUGCUUGGGAAUAAUGAUUGGGAGACAUCACCCUGCCAUGGUCAGGAGUUGGAUGAAGAUCUUUCAAAGGUGGACGAGGACCUUUUGCGCUCUUUUCAGUUGCACAUGUGGUUGUUAUAGCAUCUUGGCCAGAAGCAUGACUUUGCUCUUGUUUUUACUUGGAAACUAAGCAUGGUUUAAAGGUGUCAUGAGUACCAUAUUGACAAUGGGUAGACUGUGGUGGCUUUAUAACAUAUCACCUAGGCUAGGCUCAGCUUCUUUUCUUAGAAUUCUCUUCACUAUAGCUUUCCCAUUGGGGUGGGCCACAAGACAGAUUUUUGUGAGACUUGGAGGAUGGAUGCAAAGCACCACUCUAUUGUUUUCAGAAUAGAAAGUCAGUGCAAGUGCUGUUGACAGCGCCACACUGUGUUUGGUGCUGGUAUGAAACACUAGCCAAGCUGGUGAUUGCUCUACCUUCCUCUGAAUCCUCCUUUAGCCUCCUUGACCCCUGCCUGCUCCAGGUGAUUUUAGUUCCCAGUCCAAGAGCACCAACUUGUGGCAAACUGAUCUCAUCACUGAAGUCAGAGAUAGGGAAGAUCUAUUUGGGUUCCAGUUUAUCCUGGUGGGUUUCAGCUUAGAAUUUCCUCUUUCCUCCAUUUUCUACCUGUCUUCCCUUCUUGACCUCUUGCUUUGUAGAAUUUAAACUUUAAUAUCAGUUGCAAAGAUAACAACUUUGCAGAAUAUUUUAUGCUGACUUUUGCAAUUACCUAAACUCAAGCUAUGCAUAAGUUCUAUAUAUCUCCUGGCCUUCCCACUUCUCCUUUUGAAUGCUGAUUCAAGAAGAAUCUUGGUGCCAAGAGUUGAAACACAAUUUGGUACCAAGAAAUGAGUUAUUCUGUAGGGCUAAGAAAUGGUUGGAUGGCGGCAAGAAUGAAAUGAGUCAUAAAUGAUUAUCAACAAUGUUAAGAGUGAGAUGAUAAUUUGGGUGGGAUCUAGAUGAUCCUUUCAGAGGGCAACACCAGAGCUAUCCCCAUACUCUUUGCACUUGGGGAGUGACCAGAGGAGUGUAUCUCCCAACAGAGUAAGUAAUACCAUAGAAUAGUUCCUACUUUUUCUCUUAUAUUCACUACUAUUUCUUUAAAUUUUUUUUAGUUGUAGAUAAACACAA